rnacentral:rRNA from 1 species
CGAACGCUGGCGGCAGGCCUAACACAUGCAAGUCGAGCGAGACCUUCGGGUCUAGCGGCGGACGGGUGAGUAACGCGUGGGAACGUGCCCUUUGCUUCGGAAUAGCCCCGGGAAACUGGGAGUAAUACCGAAUGUGCCCUUCGGGGGAAAGAUUUAUCGGCAAAGGAUCGGCCCGCGUUGGAUUAGGUAGUUGGUGGGGUAAUGGCCUACCAAGCCGACGAUCCAUAGCUGGUUUGAGAGGAUGAUCAGCCACACUGGGACUGAGACACGGCCCAGACUCCUACGGGAGGCAGCGUGGGGAAUCUUAGACAAUGGGCGCAAGCCUGAUCUAGCCAUGCCGCGUGAGUGAUGAAGGCCUUAGGGUUGUAAAGCUCUUUCAGCUGGGAAGAUAAUGACUUACCAGCA